rnacentral:lncRNA from 1 species
GCAUACUGAUGACGGAAUUGCAUGAACGAGCCAAAGAGUUCAAGACCGAAGACCCAAGACGUAGGUCGUUUGGUAGAACCAAUGUAAGGAUAACAUUUAAGUUAUCUUAUCCUUUGGCUCAACAUUAGGUCAUCAUAAACAUGCAUAAAACAUUUUUAACAUAAACAUGCAUCUUUGUUUUAAACCACAAUGAUUUGUAUUUUAGUCAAAAUGGUUUUUAAACAUGUCUUUUAAUUCUGGACCUAAACAAUCGAUUAUAUGCUCCUUACAAUCGAUUGUGUUCUUUUUUAAAUAGCCAACAAUCGAUUAUACAGUUUUAACAAUCGAUUGUAUUAAGACAGUGUGAUCUGAAGUUUUUCAAAAUAGCAAACAAUCGAUUGUCUACUUUUAAC